rnacentral:rRNA from 1 species
UACGAAGGGGGCUAGCGUUGUUCGGAAUUACUGGGCGUAAAGCGCACGCAGGCGGAUUGAUAAGUCGGGGGUGAAAUCCCGGGGCUCAACCUCGGAAUUGCCUUCGAUACUGUUUAUCUUGAGUCCGGGAGAGGUGAGUGGAAUUCCUAGUGUAGAGGUGAAAUUCGUAGAUAUUAGGAAGAACACCAGUGGCGAAGGCGGCUCACUGGCCCGGUACUGACGCUCAUGUGCGAAAGCGUGGGGAGCAAACAGG